rnacentral:rRNA from 1 species
UCCGGAAAGAAAACCUCUGGGUUAAUACCCUGGGGGGAUGACGGUACCGGAAGAAUAAGCACCGGCUAACUACGUGCCAGCAGCCGCGGCAAUACGUAGGGUGCAAGCGUUAAUCGGAAUUACUGGGCGUAAAGCGUGCGCAGGCGGUCUGCUAAGACAGAUGUGAAAUCCCCGGGCUUAACCUGGGAACUGCAUUUGUGACUGGCAGGCUAGAGUAUGGCAGAGGGGGGUAGAAUUCCACGUGUAGCAGUGAAAUGCGUAGAGAUGUGGAGGAAUACCGAUGGCGAAGGCAGCCCCCUGGGCCAAUACUGACGCUCAUGCACGAAAGCGUGGGGAGCAAACAGGAUUAGAUACCCUGGUAGUCCACGCCCUAAACGAUGUCGACUAGUUGUCGGGUCUUCAUUGACUUGGUAACGUAGCUAACGCGUGAAGUUGACCGCCUGGGGAGUA